rnacentral:rRNA from 1 species
GAUGAACGCUGGCGGCGUGCCUAAUACAUGCAAGUCGGGCGAACGGACGAGAAGCUUGCUUCUCUGAUGUUAGCGGCGGACGGGUGAGUAACACGUGGAUAACCUACCUAUAAGACUGGGAUAACUUCGGGAAACCGGAGCUAAUACCGUAUAAUAUUUUGAACCGCAUGGUUCAAAAGUGAAAGACGGUCUUGCUGUCACUUAUAGAUGGAUCCGCGCUGCAUUAGCUAGUUGGUAAGGUAACGGCUUACCAAGGCAACGAUGCAUAGCCGACCUGAGAGGGUGAUCGGCCACACUGGAACUGAGACACGGUCCAGACUCAUACGGGAGGCAGCAGUAGGGAAUCUUCCGCAAUGGGCGAAAGCCUGACGGAGCAACGCCGCGUGAGUGAUGAAGGUCUUCGGAUCGUAAAACUCUGUUAUUAGGGAAGAACAUAUGUGUAAGUAACUGUGCACAUCUUGACGGUACCUAAUCAGAAAGCCACGGCUAACUACGUG